UCUGGCGGAUACGACUCCCAGCAUGACAUACCAAAACAACUCAUAAAACAGCAUAAAAUAUGUUUUUUGUUUUGGUUGAUAGGAUCCCGGACAGAUCAUUGUUGUGGACUGUCUGAGUUUUUAAAGAAAAGUGUCGGAGGGCGAAGGAUUGCGGCAACAAAAAAAUACGCACUGCUUUACGGUACCUGGUCCCCCGACAACGACCAACCAAGCGGCGGCGGACGUGGUACGGAGGACGCUUCUAGAAACCUUAAAAAAGAGCGCGCCAUCCGCUUCGUGGUCAUGGUCUGUCAGAGAACCUCAAGACGAACGUCGAGUACAUUAAGAUUGCCGGAACCCGGGCGGAUCGGCUAUCAACAACUUCGCCAACGGCAAACUCAUAAUUACGCACGCAGAUGCAGGUCGUCUGGGCCGCUUGGGACAACGUGUCCGAGAAUCCAAAAAUGCACGAGCUGCUGAGACUAGUGUUUCUGAGGCCACCGGAGUGGGCGGAAACAUAGAAGUUGCGGCGGUUAAGGGGUUACAUACAUGUAGAAAAUCACAAAAUGUCAUAUUACAGAUUUUUUUUUGAAUCCACUAAAAGAUGAUUAGGAAUAUUUUUUUCUGUGUAUAUUUCGGCAGUGAUACAACCAAAUGUCUUCAAAUAUGUUUUGAUAAUAGAUGAAAAUGUGUAUUUUAAUGCCCUGAUAACAGUUUUUUAAUAAAAUUAAGUGUGUGCUCACACCAACCUCUGACUUUUUUUUUUAUCGAUUUACAUGUAUGUAACAAAGGCUCUGCAGAAGCGCUCCGAUCACGACGUGUUGUUCCUGACUACGCAGGGUAUCGUCCAGCUGGAGCAGCGUCACCGUAACGGAAUACGCGGUCGCAUGGCGGCCGUGCACGAUCUGUCAGUACUACGCCGUGGUUUUUCAGUUCCAGCAUGGACACUACGACAAGUGCGUCGCGGCUUCGUCGUCGUGAUGAUCAUUUCUCACAGCCAGCCAUAAACGAACUGGUUUUACGGAGGAAUUGGCUGCUAAUCUGAGCGAACUUACCUCGCUGAAGAAUCGCUUGUGACUCUUCGCGCUCGACAGGUCCUAAUAGCUGCUCAUCAGCCAGCUUAAGAACUACGUCACAACCAGAUAAAGUCCAUCUGUCUGUCUAAGAGCACGAAAACCUGCAGUGGUUGAUCUUUUCGGAUGUUUCCAUCUUGGAUAUUCCGCACGACUACCUUUCGACCUUUCUACGACUACUCGUUUCUACCUUUCUUAUCGUGCAGUCUGCAAUGCAAUGCUGGAUUACGUCCAUUGGGCGUACUCGUCCUAUGAUUUGACCUGCCUGCAGCAUCUGGAGCUGUCCGGCAAAGUCCCGCUGAUGAACUGCCAACAGCACGUUACGAGUGUUUUUCUUCUGUGCCUCUGUUUUUUUGUGACCCGAU